AAGGAGUUAUAUCAGUUGUUAUGGUAACGCUCAGUCAACAGUCAGUUCUUGCUGUUGGACAUCACUGUGAAUAUCACGACGAAUGAGAAGUUGAAUGACUUGUUCCAUUCGUUAUGGGACAAACACAAAUUCAGCGAGGAACGGGACAAAAAAUCAAGGAACAAUUGAAGCGAUUAAUGCAGAAGUGUAGGCUUUCCAAAGUAGAUACUUCUGCUGUUGAUAGUUCGGACAGUAGUAGCUUUUGACGCUGUUGCUGUUGCUGAUGAAGAAAGGCAGAAAUUACUUGGCUGUUAACACCCAGAGCACAAUACAUCAAAGGGGCAUGCCUCAGACGCAAAUUGCGCCCAAGAUUGUAAACAAGGUGCAAAAUGUGAACAUGUCUAGCUUUGUUACGAGCACUUGGCACUUGUAUUGAAUCAAGAAUAGAGAUGGCUUUGAAAAAUGACAGCAGUUUUGUAAUGUCGUCCAGUACGCAAUUCGACUCUCAACCGAGUUAGUCAGAACUCAAACUCGGGCCUUAGUAAUAUCAGCAAGUUGUAGAGACGCUCAAAGUGAAACAAUUUGUUCCAAUAGAUAGAACAGGCGUCGAUUGACUCGUCCGUAAAUGUGACUGGCCUUAAAAUGUUGCUCUCGAAUAAUGUGAACCUCACCAGGAGAGCUGUCUGCGAUUGACGCCAUUCAACAACAGUUGUUGUCAGGAAUUCCCGGGUUUGGGUUGGUGACUUAGGUGUCGGGACUCGCUUCAUCUCUGCAUAUGGCACGCUCGCAGCAACAGCAGCAGCAACAAGAACAGCAGUCGCUUCUGAGUCCAGACAAAGAUGCUGAGGAUGUGGUGGACAAGAAUGACCUGAAUACGCAGAAGGAGAGAACCAGCAUUGAUAUCGAGUUUGACCAGGAACAGCACCAGUCUGCCUGAAGAAUCCCCAGUCCAGGACGAUCCUUGCCCCCUCCCCUGACCCCUAGCUCCUCCACCCUGACCUCUGGCCUCAAAGGGUCAUCAUAGUUGAAUUCAAGCGCUGUACUCAACAACCGCAAUGUCUGUGUCGAGUUUUCAACACUCAAGACUGAGUAGUUUUGUUGAGCUCGAGUGCCAGAGUGGGACAGACACAAUGAGUUAUAGAAGUAGUUAUGGUAACACUAACAGUCAGUUCUUGCCGUAUGACAUCACAACGAAUAUCACGAAGAAUAAAAAGUUGAUUAAUUUGUUCCAUUCUUUAUGGGACAAACAUAAAUUCAGCGAGGAUCGGGAAAAAAUCAAGGAAAGUUUUACAAUUGAAGCGAUUAAUUCACAUGAGUAAGCUUUCCAAGCAGAAUACUUUUGCUGUCUAUAGUUUGGACAGUAGUAGAUUUACAAACGCGCUUUUGAUGCUGUUGCUGACAAAGAAAGGCAGUAACUACUUCAUUGUGAACACCCAGAGCACGAUACACCCAUGGGGUUUGCCUAAAAUGUGAAUUCCGCCCAAUAUUGUAAACAAGGUGCUAAAAGUAAACACGUCCGGUUUUGUUACGAGCGCUUUGCACUCCAAGCCCAAAGCACAUAGAAUCAACGCCAGAAAAGGCUUAGAAAAUGACAGCAGUUUCGUUGUGUGAUCCAGUAAGGACUCUGAACGACAUUAAUGAGACCUCAAACUUGACCAUAGCACUCACAGCGAGGCCAUCAUGUUAUCUCAGCUUCUUGAGCUUCAGCAAACAUUAUUAGCCAACAAGAUGAAAACAUCAUUGAAGUGAAAGUCAAAAACAAUCCUGACUACCUUCGGGCACAAAUACUACAACUUGCUGAAGAAAUUCAGCACGAAUAUGUCUUGCGUCAGCCUAGCACGCUUCCUAUUAACUCUUCCAACAGCGGAGCCUUGAGCUAGUUCCUAGCAAUCAUAGAUCGGUACCCUGCUGAAAAACAGGAUCUCUGGUCAGCUGGGCCCAGAUGCCCAGCAACACUUCCUAGCCCAGGACCUUGGGGCAAAUGCUCAACAUGUCCUAUCUGCAUGGUGAAGCCAGUCUAAACUUUGGGCUCCAAACUUUCCUGCUGUGGAGCUGAGAUCACCUCAUCCAUAAGGGACACAUUUCUAGGAUGCGCUAAGGUCCUUUUAUCUGUUCACAGAGGCCUUAUACUUACAAGUUCAGGCCCAGAGAACGGUGUUCCCGAACUACAACACAACCAGUACGUCUCAAUAGAGGACACCCUUCCUGAAAACCUCGCUGAGUGCGACUGCGCCAUACGUGACCCUUCAGUGAAAUGAGAUUCCAGGUGGAAUGUCAAACAGGUCAAGGGUCACCCCGCAAUGUUCAGUGCCAAGCAAUGAAAUCAUCCACCGUUACAUGUAGUUGGCAUGACGUCACUGACAAGUGACGACCGUUAAAGUAAAAUAUAUACCAAUGAACGUUGAGGGUCACCCAAAACCACCCGGUGCCUUGCGAUGAAAACCUCCAACGGGACUGUGACCUUGCCCUUGUACUCACCUAAUGGUCAGGUAUAAGGUCACUUGGGCUUAGAUAGUCACUGCAGUAAGAACAUGACAUCCGAGACUGCAAUGACGAAAUGAGUGUCCUCACUUCAGCAGUGGAGGCCAAUACACAAUACGAGAGUUUCCAGCGGCUUAUCUUAUCUGAAAACCUGGGUAGCAGAGCAAUGAGUAUGUCCCAGGAGCAUUUGCAGUCAUCGUCUCCAGAUUAUGAGAUCCCCAUGCUCCACAACCCUCAGUCUAUGAACAUCAUGCAGAGCGAACCUUGGACGUUCCUUGACGAAAUCAAACCAGCAAAUCAGAAGGACAGCCUGUUGCUACCGUUGUUAUCAUAUUAACCACAUACCGAAGAAGCUCAGAGAUAUAAAUGCUGUUUAAGAUGUACUGGUCUCUACAUACCCCAUGUCUGGAGUUAACAUGUACAAUUGAAGGUCUCUGCAUACCCCAUGUCUGGUGUGAACAUGUACAAUUGAAGGUCUCUACAUACCCCAUGUCUGGUGUGAACAUGUACAAUUGAAGGUCUCUGCAUACCCCAUGUCGGGUGUGAACAUAUACAAUUGAAGGUCUCUACAUACUCCAUGUCUGGUGUGAACAUGUACAAUUGAAGGUCUCUACAUACCCCAUGUCUGGUGAGAACAUGUACAAUUGAAGAUCUCUACAUACCCCAUGUCUGGUUUGAACAUGUACAAUUGAAGGUCUCUACAUACACCAUGUCUGGUGUGAACAUGUACAAUUGAAGGUCUCUACAUACCCCAUGUCUGGUGUGAACAUGUACAAUUGAAGGUCUCUACAUACACCAUGUCUGGUGUGAACAUGUACAAUUGAAGGUCUCUACAUACCCCAUGUCUGGUGUGAACAUGUACAAUUGAAGAUCUCUACAUACCCCAUGUCUGGUGUGAACAUGUACAAUUGAAGGUCUCUACAUACUCCAUGUCUGGUGUGAACAUGUACAAUUGAAGGUCUCUACAUACCACAUGUCUGGUGUGAACAUGUACAAUUCAAGGUCUCUAUAUACCUCAUGUCUGGUGUGAACAUGUACAAUUCAAGGUCUCUACAUACCACAUGUCUGGUGUGGACAUGUACAAUUAAUGAAUUGAUGUAGACAGAAGUCGCAUAAUGACAUAUCACAACAAAAAGUGGAAAUCCAGACAGUCUUGUGGCCAGCCAUGUUUUUAUGUGGCCAUCCAAGUUGUGUUCAAAGAAAGCAAUAGUUCAUGUUUUAUUGGAACUAUGAUGCUGAUAGUCAUUUUAUGUAAAAGGCUUUUAUGAACUAUAUUUACUCAGUAUAAUAAGAUUAAGAUUUCUUGAUAAAAGCAAUAAUGAGCAAUAUAAUUUUAAGAGCAAAAUUACAUUGUCUGUAUUAUGAAAUUUUAUUUUGGAAAUGUUAUGGAAAAUAUAAUGUUUCUUAAUAUAUGUCUAUGAAUAUUGAUUUUAACAUUUGUCAAAUCUGUUUAAAUGAUGCUGGUAACUUUGACAAAAUUGAAAGAAAAUGUAUUCUUUUCAUGUAAUGAGACAUGCUUCAGGUUUUUUUUUUUGGCUUAACAUGUAAUAUAGAGGUGGUAGUUACACACAUUGUUUAGACAGGUUGAUAAUUUUAAUGCUAAGGCUUUGAUACUCUUAAGUGUGCCCAUUGGUGUCAGGUGUUUUUGUCAAGCAUCUUGUUUAUUAUCUUAGUAUUUCAAGACAAUAUUGAUUAAUUUUAGACAAAAUUAUUUAAUCUUCCUUAAAUUGUCUAUUCUGUAUUUACUUCCAGUUAUUUAUUAAUUUGCUUGAACAUGAUUGAAGAAUGACUUUUUUGUUGCUUAAAAUGCUUUGAGCAUUUAAAAACAAAAAUAUAUGAUGUGGGAAUAAUGUCUAAAGUUAUGAUAAUUAUUUUUUGUUUUUGUUAAGUUAAUUAUGCUUUAUAUGUUUGUGUAUAGACAUUUAGAUGACCAGAUUAACCUGACCAAGAAUUCUUGAUCAAUGUGUAUAUCGGUCACUUCAUUUGUCAUUUGUAUAUAGAGCGAUUGCGAAAUGAUCGUAUUGUUAAUGAAAAUCAUGCGUUUAUUGUUGCCAUUUUGAUGUUCGCUGUUAACAUGUAUUUAUACAAACAAUUUUCAUCCUGUACAUCUUUUGGAUGCCAGAUAAUAAAAGCAAACAUUGCUUGUUGAGAUGCUCAUUUAAAACUUUCUUAAUGGUACAGAACAACACAUUCUGAAGAGGCUAAUAAAUUUUGCUUUAGGCAAAAGGAACAUCUUGUUACUAGUAUAUGUACUGCUUUUCAUUAAAUAAAGUCAAGCAACUAUUGAAAGAUUGGUUUAACUUUGUUUUGCAUUAUCUUAAGAAAAAUUUAUAUAUACUACUUGGAAAUCAGUCAAUUGCAAAUCAAGCGAGAGUGAUUUAACAUGCUAACACUUGUCAAUAAUUGAAUUGUCUCUCUUUGUACGUAAGAUAUAGGGAUGUUGUUGCUUGAAAAACAAAGUUGUAUCCGUUGUUAGAUAAUGCUUUUGUUCAUCUCUCAACAUAACAAGUACAUUCAUACAGUUAUUAAAAAUAUGACACUCUUUAUUCUCAGCCAUCAGUUUGUAUUGGGAUUUUGUGGAAUACUUACUAAACUAAUAUACGUCUGUUUAAUGAAUUAAUAGCUAUGGUACAAUAUGAUACUCAGUGUUAAAAAACAUGUGUAAUAAAAUUAUAAUGGCAUUUAUUUGAAAUCAUAAAAUUUAGUUUUCCAUACAAUGCUUACAGUUUUGCAAUUGCGACGAUAAAGGAAAUUUUCUGCUAAAAAAAAUGUCUGUUAAAGACAUGUGUAUAUUGUAGCAAUUAUAUUGUACUUGUAUUUAUAUUAUACAUGAUAAUAAUUGACUUAUGGCUGAUGAUAGCGGCAGUUUACUAUUUGUGUAACAGUUUGACCAUAUUUCCUUAAACAUGUGAUUGUUUAUAAUGAACUGUAAUUGAAUGCAUGAAACAUUGUGGUUCUGUUGCUUAACAGCUGAAAAUAGCUUGAUGUUUGUUAAUUGUGUGAAAUGUUUCAAAUUAAUCAUAUUGAUACAUAGAAAAUAAAAUUACAUUUUGCGUUAAUUUAAAUGCAUAUCAAACAAUUGUUACCAUACAAGCAUAUUUGCAUUGAACUUAAUUGAUACUUUGAGAUGCAAUUUUUACAUUAAUGUGUAAAUAUUUUCAUCUUUUCCAAAUGAACAUUUUGCAUUUGUAAAUAUAGGGUUUAUAUAAACUUUAUAGAAACUUAUUAAAUGCUUUAUAUAAAUUGAUUGUGUACCUCAUAUUGAUUAAAAACUCUCUUAUUUAUUGCACAGUUGUGUGUGCAUAUGUCUGACUUAUGUCUUCAUAGUCCUUAAAGUUAAAUUACUGUAAAUAGUAUUUUAUAAUAAUGUUAAAAUAUUUAUCUAAACUAUAUACAGGUUAUCUGUUUAAUUAAGUUUCAUACAUUUGCAUUGUCUAGCUAAUUAAAUUGGAGUGUUUAUAUUCUUGCCUACAUGCAGUGUAUGGUUUAGACAAAGCACAUUACACAACUCAUGUUGUUUUAUCCAUCAUUACUAACCAGUGUUAAGUCCGUAGAGGUUAAAGUAUACUAAAUAUUUCGGUUGUGCAAUGCUAUGCUCUCUAAAUAAAUCAACACCAUUUAUUGAUUUUCUAUGUGGGCACCUAAAUUCCUAUGACUUUAUUUGUGAAUAUUUAUUUGAAUGUGCGGUAGGGAAAACAUUGUUUGCUUGAAUGUUAGAAACUUAAGGUUGACAUCUUGAAAGAUGGCAGUAAACAUUUAACUGCAGAGUAGCUGGGGAAAAGAUUGCUGUUAAACAAUGUAAGACAGAACUCCACGCAAGAUAUGUCAUGCAUGCGAUAUGCAUGAACUAUCUUUUUAAAAUAAUUUGAAUCUGAAUUAUCUUUAAGAAAUAGUAUGGUUAUGAGGGUCUCUAUGUGCAAAAUGUUGCAUUUAUUUAGCGUACAAGUUAUUGCUUAAACAUUGAAUUUGUUAUGGAAAUAAUAUAGUUUAUGUGACUUAAAGAGAUUUACAUGUUUAUGUUAGUGAUGUGUUUUUGCUGAUCCAAGUCUGUUCCUGCACACUAUUUAAAGUAGAUAACUACAAGUUAUCUCAUUUAAAUGGGAAAAGUAUUGUACUGUGAAAAAGUGUUGUGAAUUCAAAUAAAAAUACUAUGAAC